AUUGAACGCUGGCGGCAUGCCUUACACAUGCAAGUCGAACGGCAGCACGGGAGCAAUCCUGGUGUCGAGUGGCGAACGGGUGAGUAAAGUAUCGGAACGUGCCAGUCGUGGGGGGUAACGUAGCGAAAGUUACGCCAAUACCUCAUACGAUCUACGGAUGAAAGCGGGGGCUCGCAACCCCUCGCGCGAUUGGAGCCGCCGAUAUCAGAUUAGGUAGUUGGUGGGGUAAAGGCCCACCAAGCCAACGAUCUGUAGCUGGUCUGAGAGGACGACCAGCCACACUGGAACUGAGACACGGUCCAGACUCCUACGGGAGGCAGCAGUGGGGAAUUUUGGAAAAUGGGCGAAAGCCUGAUCCAGCCAUUCCGCGUGCAGGAUGAAGGCCCUCGGGUUGUAAACUGCUUUUGUACAGAACGGAAAGGUUUCUACUAAUACUAGGAGCUCAUGACGGUACUGUAAGAAUAAGCACCGGCUAACUACGUGCCAGCCGCCGCAGUAA
rnacentral:rRNA from 1 species